AUUGAACGCUGGCGGCAGGCUUAACACAUGCAAGUCGAGCGGGGAAGGGUAGCUUGCUACCUGACCUAGCGGCGGACGGGUGUGUAAUGCUUAGGAAUCUGCCUAUUAGUGGGGGACAACAUUCCGAAAGGAAUGCUAAUACCGCAUACGCCCUACGGGGGAAAGCAGGGGAUCUUCGGACCUUGCGCUAAUAGAUGAGCCUAAGUCAGAUUAGCUAGUUGGUGGGGUAAAGGCCUACCAAGGCGACGAUCUGUAGCGGGUCUGAGAGGAUGAUCCGCCACACUGGGACUGAGACACGGCCCAG
rnacentral:rRNA from 1 species